rnacentral:lncRNA from 1 species
AAGGACCAGGGAGGAGGCAGCCAUUCCUAAACCAAGGGAUGGCCAACCAGGGGCUGAUGUCUCCCUGUGGAGAAGGGGAGGAGACAGCAGACACCCACUUGGUACACGUGGGCAAGGUGCAUGGGAAAGGUGGGGACGCUCAGGGACAUCACAGGCCACGCCUCUUCCUCAGCCCACCCUGCUCCUGGGCCUGUGACCUGUGACUAGCUAGGGGCAAGCACCCGGGGGUGGGCUGCCUUGGGGGAGGGGAGAUCCACUCAGCUUUCCCUACGGUUUCUUGAGCAUGCAGGCAAGAUUGGACCUCUUGACGUGUUCCCAAAAGAGAGGAGAAAAAAGUGAUCCCUGGUUUGCAUUGCGUUUGAGGUGGGGCAUGCCCCAAAUUCAAGGCUGCUCUGUGUGAGCUGGGAGGAAGGCUCCUUAAAGCAAAGCUUUGCUGGGAACAGGCACGGCUCACAGGCUCUGACUGCUUCUCUGGAACUCAUGGCUGCUGGAAACUUGUCCUCUCCCCACCUUGGAGCUCUCCCCAGGUAAGUACACUGUGGCUGUCUUCAGAGACACCAGAAGAGGGCACGAGAUCUCACUGCAGAUGGUUGUGAACCACCAUGUGGUUGCUGGGAUUUGAACUCGGGAUCUUCAGAAGAGCAGUCAGUGCUCUUAACCACUGAGCCAUCUCUCUUGAGCUCCCAAACAUUACAGAAAACCACAGCCAAUCAAAUUGCAGAAUUAUGGAACCAAGGCCAACUGACAAGUCUACGACACAACUCCUGUACCCAAGGCUCAGGAAUCACUGGGAAAGAUGGGAAGGUUCGGGGAGUUGGCUGUGAGAUUGUGUUCCCAAGAAAUGCCGGAAGCUGCACUGACAGAGUCUCACCAACAUGGCUGCCUAACAGGGACCACUCCCGCUCCUUUCAUGGUAGAUGAUGAGAAACAAGGAGACACAGGUCCAUGGUGGUAAAGUUUCCAGAAGACCCUCUGGAGAAGGAGACAAUAUGCUCCUUUUGCGUACAAGUGGAUGACCCACUAGCUUUAGAAGGGAACAAUUGAUAUUUUUUUUCUCUGAGUCAGCCUGAUUUACAGAGUGAGUUCCAGGAUAGCCAGGGCUACACAGAGAAACCCUGUUUUG